CCAGGACCAAGGUCAGCAGCAGGCGCGAAAAUUAUCGAAGCCCGCCUAGGGGCGAUAGUGAGGAGACGUGUAUAACGAAGUACGUGUAAAGGACGUGCUAAUAACUGGAGGUCAAGUCUGGUGCCAGCAUCCGCGGUAAUUCCAGCUCCAGGGGUGUCUAUGAUGAUUGCUGCGAUUAAAAAGUCCGUAGUCAAUCUGACUGACUGACCUGCAAUGUGAUUGAUUAAAGAACGAGCAGGGUUAGGAAAGCAGAGAAUUAGGAGCGACCGAGGGCUAGAGUAUUGAAUGGCGAGAGGUGAAAUUUGAUGACCCAUUCAGGAGUGACAAAGGCGAAGGCACUAGUCAAGGGCGAAUCCGAUGAUCAAGGACGUAGGCUAGAGUUUCGAAAACGAUUAGAGACCGGAGUAGUUCUAGCAGUAAACUAUGCCGACGCCGUGGUAUCAACAAUGGUAUUGCGGAAGAGAAAUCAAGUAAGGCUUUGGGGAGAGUACGCGCGCAAGCGAUAAAUU
rnacentral:rRNA from 1 species